CAGUGGUUCACCCCCAAGUCCAUUGUUGACUCUGCACCAGCGGGUGUGUGUGAUACUGGGGGUUGCUGGCGGAGCUGAAAUGGGAGUUGUACUGGACGUGUUGGAGUGACUGUGUGGUGUAGGCUGGGAAGGCGAUGCUGGUCUGAAAAGUGGCUGCCGUCAAGUCCUGCGUUUUGAGAGCAUUGGUCACCAUGCUGGCGUGACAGGGUUUACCGUCUCUGACCAGGACAGGGACCGCCACUCUCCUCGGCGAGGGCAAAGGGUUGACAUCCAUACCUUUCUCGGCCCGGGCCCUCUUCAUCUUGUACCUGUGGUUCUGGAACCAGAUCUUCACCUGGGUGGGAGUCAGGCGGAUGAGGCUAGCGAGGUGUUCCCUCUCUGGGGCGGACAGGUACCGCUGCUGCCUGAAGCGUCUCUCCAGUUCGUAAGUCUGAGCUUUGGAGAAAAGCACCCGGCGUUUACGCUUCUUCCCCGACUCGCUGCCAUUGCUGGAAGUCUCGGUCGCAUUGUCUGGCGACUCGUCCGCCGAAGGCUCCGAAGACUUACUGGAGGAGUUCUGUUGCUGCGAAGCGGCGGUAGAAAUCCCGUGCACUGCAGAGAGAGAGAGAGAGAAGGGGAGAGAAGAAGAGAAAAGAAAUCAUUCGCAAAACGCACUUUUUUUUCCAUGUUUGGUUUUCAUCUUACAAUCUCCUGAACGCCAAACCUUGCACACCGUUGUCUCAUUUCAGAUUAAUUAUUGCACUAAUUUAACUUCGAGGUGGGCUAAAACCCUCUUAAGCACACGCAAAAGAAAACAAAAAAGCAGGCCAAGUCGCCUCCGCUGGUAACGUUUUCAGUUUAAUUAGGAUAAUUCAGCACUUACGUGAGUAUUGGAUACUCUCAGUUGUGGCCAGCCACCGGGUAUACGGGUUAUCGGUGCUGUCAUAAAACGGGUUCUUCAGUGGAAGCCUCUGCACGGUCUCCAGGGGACUUUGGCGAGCGAAACCCGAAGUUUUGGCCGUUCCCGCCGCUUCCCUCUCCUCCUCGGCCGUUUCGGCCGCCGAUCCAUCUUCAUCGUUGGUGUCAGAAUCUGCGGGAGAAACUCACCAUAUCUAGCAGCACCUGUGGAGAGAAAGCACAAGUUAACAUUUCGAGUCCAGUGACGCUUCAUCAGAACGGCUAGCAGCUAGGAAAAAGUGGUAUGCCUUUGCCUCCCUGCUACACUUCUGUAACUCCUGCCCAAAAGGCGGGAUAUGAGUAUUGGCGAGGACACAGUUAACCAUGGAUGCAUAAGAUAGUUUGUGUUAAACAGCAGAAAAAAGAGCUGAGGAUGGGGAGAUGGUGGAAAGUGCAGCGAGGACUGUGGAUCUUCACAUUGUGUGCUGGACUUGAACUGUGUCUUGCUCUCCGGGGUGAGCUCUGAAACAAGGAGAGAUAAGUGACCUUUACACAAAAUCUUAAUCCCCCGCUGAAGAGACUGAUAGGAUCGAGGGCCUAUUUCAACAAUCUAACAAGAGUCUGAAAAGAAGCGGUAAAUGUGCACAGGAUAAGUGGCCGUACUUCAGCUCAAGUACCCUCUAGUUGUGUUUACCUGUUUACUUUCGCAGGUAGAUUAAAACCUCUGCUCGCCAGAAUGUGCCUUUUCACUGGAGCCGAACGGGCAGGCUGUCUGCUCCAGUCCUGGUGACUGAGCGGCACAACUAACUUUUGAAAUGGUGAGUUGCUGAGUGGAGAGAGAAGACAAGCAGUUGUUUUCACCCAAACCAAAGCCAAACGAAGGAACAUACCUUUACGCAUUUGGCUAGGCUUUAGCACAGCGUUGGAAGUAAUGAUCUUGAAGAGAUGCUCCAGGUCAAUGUGGCAAGUAGCUGUAUUUUAUUAAUUAAAUUUGGGAUAUUUCGGUUCGGCGUAAUACAAUCAACUUGCACACGUUUAAUGAACUGGAGGUCUCCAGUUGCCUCUACUACAAUAAUUUAAUAAUGGACUGGGAUUAUAGUAUUGAAGACUAGUGAAUAACUCCGAUUCAUGUUAACCUGACAAUUCCAAUCAGCAGUUACGGUCGUUAAUUAACAUUGCUUUCGGGAGGGUUGUCCAUGCGAUGCUGUCUAAAGGUGAUGGGGAUGGAGAGAGAUGGAAUUAAACUCUUUGGAUCCUAAAUAUUUCUCACCAUCAUUUCCUAUCGCACAGAUUUAUUCUUUUUAAAUUGAUGAAUGUUAGGAUGGCAAAAAGUGAAAAAGAUCCUACGUAUAACAUAAACGCCGGACCUGGAGAAAUCAUUGAAUAUUUACACAGACAUUCACCGGUUUCUGAAAACCAUUGAAAGCGGCAGGCCUUAUCUUAUAGUUAAAACCAGUUUAUCCGUUCCAAAUCCUUUUGUCCUCGCUGUCGCUAUUAAAUAGCAGAAAGUUGCAAAAAAAAAUGUAAAAUCCGUUCCCAUGAGUAAAGAUCUGUAAGUUCAUAAAAUAUAAUUGUUUUAUUUUGAGAAUAUAGAUAGCAUGUACAGGCAAUUAGCCCACUUGGCCAGUGAAUAUGUGGGCGCCCAGUUUUCACAGUUACAGGACCUCGUGGCAAUCUUUUCGUUUAAUGAAAGUGUGGAACGGAUUAUGCGCUGCAAAUUCGCCCUGGCUCGAAACCUUCAAUAAACAGUAAUCUAACCGGUACACAGAUCCUUCAUUUGAUUUCUGUUUGAAGGAGUUGCGUCGGUUACAUUUUCUUAAAGGCUAAAUCUCGAGACCUUUUGAUGCGAAAAUGCUCAAUUUAAUUUCUGAAUAUUUAAUCUUUACUGUCAUUACAUGUCCUUCAAAAUUCAGAUACUCGUCUCCUGGCCAACCUGCUUUUUUGGGUACGGAUAAAUAGAAUUAACGUUAGAAUAGAACAAUGACAGUGAAGGUAAUAAUCGUCCAGGCUAACAUGUUAAAAGGAGAUAAUUGGCAUUGGUCUUCAGAUACAGUUAGUUGCUUGUUCUGCAGAAUAGGAUUGAGGACCAGUUAUCAAAGGGCUCCC